GUGUCAGCAGCCGCGGUAAUACCAGCUCUCCGAGUGGUAGGGACGAUUAUUGGGCUUAAAGCGUCCGUAGCCGGCUUAGCAAGUCUCCUGUUAAAUUCAGCGACCUAAUCGUUGAGCCGCGGGAGAUACUACUAGGCUAGGAGGCGGGAGAGGUCGAUGGUACUUCCGGGGUAGGGGUGAAAUCCUAUAAUCCCGGGAGGACCACCAGUGGCGAAGGCUGUCGCCGAGAACGUGCCCGACGGUGAGGGACGAAACCCAGGGGAGCGAAUCGGAUUAGAUACCCGAGUAGUCCUGGGCGUAAACGAUGCCCGUUAAGUGUUGCAGUGACCACGCGUCACUGCAGUGCUGUAGCAAAAGCGAUAAACGGGCCGCUUGGGAAGUACGGCCGCAAGGCUGAAACUUAAAUGAAUUGACGGGG
rnacentral:rRNA from 1 species